rnacentral:rRNA from 1 species
CUCACCCGGGGAAGGGCGUCGGAUACUGGCAGGCUAGAGUACCGGAGAGGAGGGUGGAAUUCCUGGUGUAGCGGUGAAAUGCGUAGAUAUCAGGAGGAACACCGGUGGCGAAGGCGGCCCUCUGGACGGAUACUGACGCUGAGGCGCGAAAGCGUGGGGAUCAAACAGGAUUAGAUACCCCGGUAGUCCACGCUGUAAACGAUGGGGACUAGGUGUGGGGGGUAUUGACCCCUCCCGUGCCGUAGCUAACGCAUUAAGUCCCCCGCCUGGGGAUUACGGCCGCAAGGUUAAAACUCAAAGGAAUUGACGGGGGCCCGCACAAGCGGUGGAGCAUGUGGUUCAAUUCGACGCAACGCGCAGAACCUUACCUGGGCUAGACAACGGAGGACAGCCCCAGAGAUGGGGUCUUCCCUUCGGGGACCUC